UAGGUUGGUGCAAAAGUAAUCACAGUUUUUGCUAUUACUUUUAAUGGCAAGAACUGUGAUUACUUUUGCAUCAACCUUAUA
rnacentral:miRNA from 1 species